rnacentral:rRNA from 1 species
AGCGAACGCUGGCGGUAGGCCUAACACAUGCAAGUCGAACGGCAGCACAGUAAGAGCUUGCUCUUACGGGUGGCGAGUGGCGGACGGGUGAGGAAUACAUCGGAAUCUACUUUUUCGUGGGGGAUAACGUAGGGAAACUUACGCUAAUACCGCAUACGACCUACGGGUGAAAGCAGGGGACCUUCGGGCCUUGCGCGAUUGAAUGAGCCGAUGUCGGAUUAGCUAGUUGGCGGGGUAAAGGCCCACCAAGGCGACGAUCCGUAGCUGGUCUGAGAGGAUGCUCAGCCUCACUGAAACUGAGACCCGGUCCAGACUCCUACGGGAGGCAGCAGUGGGGAAUAUUGGACAAUGGGCGCAAGCCUGAUCCAGCCAUACCGCGUGGGUGAAGAAGGCCUUCGGGUUGUAAAGCCCUUUUGUUGGGAAAGAAAUCCAGCCGGCUAAUACCUGGUUGGGAUGACGGUACCCAAAGAAUAAGCACCGGCUAACUUCGUGCCAGCCGCCGCCGUAAAAC